AAAUUUUUAAAUAAGUAUAUAUAUAUAUAUAUAUAUAUAUACACUAGUAAGGCGUAGAUUCAUCUCCGAGCUGGAGAGCUCCCCGCACUCCACGCCGGUUCCACUCCCAGGUGGCGCCUCUCUUCCACGGUGGCACCUGAUCCAUCUGGCUCCUUGCGUUCACGGAUGCAUGUGCUCUUGUGUCAGUAGUCGUCAGCCAUCCCUUUCACCUCUCUCUCACGCAAAGUCGCUUCCUUUUCACCGAAUCACUGAGCCAACCUUCCCUCUUCAUGGAUCUGCUUGAAUAGGUAAUGAUUUCGUUGAACCCUAGCAGCUUUGCUUUCUUCUUCAAAUUUCGUUUCGUCUGCGGUACGAAACUUUGUCUACGAGCUGUGUUCUCCUGGAAGUUUGUUCGUCGCCGUUCAUCUGGGUUACUGAUUUCCCAAAUUCCCGGUAAGAUUGAAGAUCUCAGAUCAAUCAAUCAGGUUCAUGGAAACCUAUUAUACUCUUGGUCCUUUUUCUUUUCCUUGAUUCUGUCGAUAUUUGUGAUGAAUUUUGUCAUCGGUUCGACGAUUGAUCUAUGUUUUAUUGUGUACGGUUCCUGAAAUCCCUGAUUGUGCAAAUUCUGAUAAUUUUUUGUAUUUGUUCUAUGGUUAAUCGAGAAUUUCUUUUCUAGGGUUUGUGAAAUUCCUAAUCUUGCAAAUUGUCAUCGUUUUGGUAUCUGUUCUAUUUUUAAUCCACAUGUUAUUGUCUAGGGUUCCUGAAAUUUGUAAUUUGAAAAUUCUGUAUGUUACUUGUUUUCUUUGUGGGUUCAUGUUGUUGGUUAGAUUUUUUUGGGUGUUGCUGUUAACCUUCAAUUUGAACUUAUUAUCAGAUCUCCUUUUCGUACGUGUUGAAUUGUUUGUUGUAUAUGUUUUGUGUUUUUCAUGAAUAUAUUUAUGAUUUAUUACUUUUAUUACAUUCGACAAAUCGCUUGAGUUUUUUAACUGUUUUCUGUUUUGAGAAACAUGUUCUGUUCUCUAUGUUUGAUGUAAUGUUCACAUAAAAGUGUCGUUUUGAUACAUAAUAAGGUUGUUCUGUAUUCUUUAUUGGGAAUCCGAGAUUUGGGCAUUUGUAACAAGGUCUGAGGUUUGAAUCUCAUCCCUUUCAUGAGUGUUGAUGUCAUUUUGAGAUUUUUUUAUUUAUAUCUAAACUGUUUUGAAUGUAUCCUUACCUAACACAUUUACCAACUCUGAUUGUGAUGAGUAGAAUCAUUGUUUGGGGUAGUUGAUUACUGUCUUCCCUAUGAUCUUAUGAGGUGUAGCUGCACUGUAGUAGCUUUUGCUGCUAUCAUUAGUUGUCUAUGUGCCAUUGGAUGGAGAUGAGAAUGUAGGAAUGCCUAUCAAGGUUUUUGAUCCUAUGAUUAGUUGUCUAUCUAUAUGCUAUUCAAUGGAGAUGACCAUGUGAGAAUGCCUAUGAAGGUAUGGGCUUUCUAUCAAACCUAUUUGGUGAGUAGUGAUGUGAUUGAUAUAAAUUGAUUUUCCCAUCAAAAUGUGUUUUCCAUAUGUAAUAAGGUUGUGCUAUAUAUUCUUGAAAAUUUAAAAUUUUGGAAUCGUUAUCAAGGUAUGAGCUUUCAGUCUCAUCCUUUUCGUGGAUGUUGAUGUGAUUGACAGCUUUUAUAUUAAUGUUUGUGUAUACUUUUGUCACCAUUUAUCUCUUUUCUCCAAUUUAUUGCUACGCAGCACAUUUACUAACUUUCAUUGGCAGGACUAGAAUCAUUAUUUGGGGUAGUUGGUGACUGCCUUCCCUUUUCUCGAAUGACAUGUAGCUGCAUUGUAGUAGUAGUGGUGUGAAAUCUUAAUUUUUGGUCCCUAUUUUUUUUUCUUGAAAAGUUCACUUCUUUUUCCUGUUUUUCUCUUGGUUCAGCUUUUGCUGCUAUCAUUAGUUGUCUAUAUGCUAUUGAAUGGAGAUGAUCAUGUCAGAAUGCGUAUGAAAGUAUGGGCUUUGUAUCAACCCUAUUUUCUGACUUGUGAUAUGAUUGUUAUGAAUUUAUAUAUAGCUUUUUCCUCAUUGAAUGAAAGAUUUGGUUAUUCAACUCAAUUUGAUUCUCAUUUUUUUUUAAAUUAUUUAUGUAAAAUUUAUUUGCUAUUUCACCUCUUGAAAAGAAAUGGGGUCUUUCUCCUGAAUUUGAGAUGUCAUUCCCAAUGGAUUUGGCUUUCGUAGAUUAAGAUUGGAUCAUUUUGCUAUUUUUCCCCACUCAUCUGUUGGUUUGAAUGUAUCCUGACCUAACCAAUAUAUUCUAACUCACAAUUUCUGGUCCCUAUUUCUUGAUUUCUUCAAAGUUUCAUUUGUUUUUCCUGUUUUUGUGUUGGUUCCGGUUUUGGUUCUAUGAUUAGUUGUCUCUAUGCUAUUGAAUGGAGAUGAGAAUGUUGGAAUGCCUAUGAAGGUAUGGACUUUCUAUCAAACCUAUUUGGUGAUUACUGAUGUGAUUGAUAUGAAUUGAUUCAUAGCUUUUUCCUCAUUGUACCUAAUCUAUUCAUGAGUGGUUAUGUGAUUCACAAAAAAUGAUGUGUAACCUUUUGUUUAUUUGUUUUUUUUUUCAGGUUCAACUGAAUUGGAUUAGAUUUAUCUCUUGGUUGUUUUAAUUCUGUUUUAUUCUUCAGCUGUUAGAUGGAGAUACAGCUGCUUGGCCUCAGGUUAACACGUUCCUUGAGAAAAAAAAUGUCCGUGUGCGAGUAAAAUGUGUUCAUGCUAUUAUUUGUCUAACUAGCACAUGUCCCUAGCCAAAGAAAAAACUAUCCAGCCACUGGUCUUCCCAUGAAAAAGUGUUCUCCACACAUAAUAAGCUUUUGCUCCUAUGAUUAGUUGUGUAUGUGCCAUUGAAUGGAGAUGAGAAUGUGGGAAUUUUUAUAAAGUGUGGAAAAAUACAAGCUACAGUCAAGAAACCACUGCUUAAUAGGUUUAGGGAUCAUAUAGUUGAAUGACAAGUUUAUAGAAUGGCAUAUUUUACUGUUGUGUCAAAUCAUGGUAGUUAUAGAGCAACUUCUCAUGAAUUCAAAUUGGUUUUCCUUCACCAAACCACUGUUGUAGCUGUUGAUGAAGAUGUAAUCCCUAAGACUUGUUUCAACAUGUUUCCUUUUUCUGAGCUGUUGAACAUGACCCAAGAUUAUGAUUUCUUAGUUGGUGUGUAUAACUUCUUGCUUUUCUGUUAUUGAAGUUUUUUUAACAAAUCAUUUGAAUAGUUAAUAGAUUGUGUUUAUUUGGAAUAGAUGUCAUUGGUCUUUUAACUUCAGUCGGAGAAGAGAAAGAAUAUGCAAA